rnacentral:tRNA from 1 species
GCCCUCGUAGCUCAGUGGAUAGAGCACCGCUCUCCUAAAGCGGGUGUCGCAGGUUCGAUUCCUGCCGGGGGCG